AAUCAUCAUCGAAUAGUUACUUGACCUAUGGUUUUUUUUAUUUUUUAUAGAUGACGAUGAUGAAGUAGAUUGUAAUUAAGGAUGAAACUCGAACGAAGAAAAUGUGAAAUGUUUAGUCGUGAGUAUGAAGAGGUGGGUACUGGUGUGUGUGUGUGUGUGUGUGUGUGUGUGUGUGUGUCCUCACCUAUACUUAGCUACCAUUAAUAAAAAAAAUUACUUACGAAAGCGAACUAUGAUCUGAUGUGUAUAUAAUUGCUAUGUAUGAGCGCACAGCGUGAUUUUGUAGUCAAUAAACUUAUCUCGGAGUAAUAAUAGCUCUAGUGCUGCCAUCUAGCGGGGCAUUUGAGGCGUAGGCUGCUGUUAUCUUUCCUUCUACAGUCCAGGGGGCGCUACAGACAGAUCGCUGGGCUUCGGGGGAACAUGUGAGGUAGUUCGGUUGGAUUCGUUCACUCCCGCGCUGAAGCAGACCUCCCUUCACCGCCUCUGUAUCGCCCCCGCUCCGCUGCCGACCGCAUCCUUUCCCCAGUGCGUGUGAUAGCUACUGACUCCUGCUUGUAAGACGUGUAGCCUCUUUACGUUUCUCCUGUUCCAUUACCUCUCCUUAAGGGGCUAUUACACUGGGCAUAUUUUCCGUGGAUCUUCAGUCAAACCACGAUUUCCGCUAACGUGGUUCUAAAUUGUUUCCUGUUAUUGCUGCUGAUGAUGAUGGUGAGUAAUACCGUCGUCCUUCAGUGAAAUCUACCGUAGCUUUGGAAGAUCGUGGACACGUCAGAAAACCACGGAAAUAUGAGAAAAACGCCAACUGAAAUCGUGGUUUGACUGAAGAUCCACGGAAAAUUUGCCCAGUGUAAUAGCCCCUUUACGUUAACCCAACCCUUCCUAACCUCGCCCUCCCAUUUUUCUUACCCUUCUUUCCUCCUCCUUUCAUCGCUCCUUCUGUUCCCGUCUCUAUUACAUUACCACUAUUCCGUCUUUUCUCCUAAAUUUCCUCUCCUGUUCUCCCGUCCCUACUACUCUUCUCCCUCUGUUUUUUUUUCCCCUAUUACCACCCUUCACUCCUCUUCUCCCGUUCUCCUGUCCCUCCCUCCCACUCCUCCCUCUCCUCCCGUUCUCCUGUCCCUGCCUCCCACUCCUCCCUCUCCUCCCGUUCUCCUGUCCCUGCCUCCCACUCCUCCCUCUCCUCCCGUUCUCCUGUCCCUGCCUCCCACUCCUCCCUCUCCUCCCGUUCUCCUGUCCCUGCCUCCCACUCCUCCCUCUCCUCCCGUUCUCCUGUCCCUGCCUCCCACUCCUCCCUCUCCUCCCGUUCUCCUGUCCCUGCCUCCCACUCCUCCCUCUCCUCCCGUUCUCCUGUCCCUCCCUCCCACUCCCCCUCUCCUCCCAUCCCUCUCACCUGCCCCACUCACCUGCCGGGACUCGUCAACGAUGAGGGAGUGGAUGGCCAUGGACACGUUCACCUUCGUCGGCCCUGGAAGCAAACAAAGGAACGUGUUGGUGAACGGAGAACGAUGACGGGAAGAGCUAGAAAAGGAAGAACAUUAAUGAGCGCUACUCACCGGAGCCUUGGUUCGGCCUGAUGUCCCUGUCGUAUUCGUCCAGGUUGAGCGCUUCCUGGACCCUCAGCUUCAGUCCGCCGGCUACGCCCGCCCUGCAAGUGAGAGGCGAGGAUCACAACGCAUCCACACACACUCAGGAAAAAGCUGUUACCUAGACGCCCCGGGCAGCCCCCAGAGGAGCAGCGAGGCGAGGCACCGCGCUGCGUGAAGGCGAGGAGAUUGAGGCGCCUUGCAAACACCACCUUCAGGACCUUUCCAGCGCCUCGUCCCCAGCCGGAUUGACACCAUCCUCAAGGUGAUCGAUGGAGAGGAUGGAGACGCCUUGGGAUGACUGACGCCGUGCCCGCGCGCGAGGCCUCCCUCCACGAGCCGGGUACAAUGCUGUCUGUCUAACGACCAUCAUCGCUGGAAUUCAGUGGAGGGGCUGGCCAGCAUGUGGUGGUGUAGCCGUGCUGCUGUUCAGAGCCUGGCAGAAGGAAGGGAUGAUUACAGUCAGUGACAUCUCAAGUAAUGGACGGCGGACUCUUGAUUUUGCGGCGC